AAUGAGGUCAUUAAAUAAAGCAACUCAAGUGAAAUAGUUGAAUCCUUUGUUAUGGGCUUGCGAUGGACUGCUUUAGCUCUGUCGUGACAGCUAGAAAGAACAGAGCAGUGUACAACAAUGGAUUUGCAACACCUGGUCACCCGAGUCAGGAAAAUGAUGCAGCUACCCCAUGUAUUGGCAGGAAGGCCACUGAACAUUACAUUAAAGGAGCUGAGUGUGGGGAGGGAAGAAAGCCCUAGGUGUGGAAGGCUCUGAAUGACAUGGGCACAGUCAUGUCAAACUCAUGGAAGAAUGGCAAACCCUCCCCUACCCCAAAGAAACCACGGCUCCUCGGUCAGCUGUGUGCAUUAAUUCUGUCUCUCUGUCGAACUCUCUGUAAUAAACAUGCUGAGCUUCCAGGAUGCUACAGUUUUCCCAUCCAAGAUCCCAGACCACCCAACCCCAGCUUUUCUGUGCCUCCAAGUGUAGCCAUGAACUUUUCUGCCCAGGCUCUUUGUUCCUGAAUAACAACUCUGAGACUUAAUUAUUUAUGAAUAAAUGCCUAGGCCAUACGCUUUGGCUCAUCUACAGACUAGCUCAUAACUUAUAUAAUCUGUUUAUUCUAGACUCUGUCUUUCACAUAGCUAUUUACCUCUCCUCAGUUUGCCUGUCUCUUCUGAGCCCAGGGUGAAAUCCUCUGCUAUCACUCUUUCCCAGAAUUCCUAUCUCUCUAGACUGGAUGUCCCACCUUCUAUUUCCUGCCUCAUCCAAUAAGCCAUCAGCUUUUUAUUGACAGGUGAUGCUUCCACACAGUACAUAAGGAUUCUCUCUACAUCCAUGUGUCUGUUUCUUUUCCUCCUUCCCCUUGCCAUCCCAGUCAGAUCCAAGCCCCUGAAAGCCAAGCAAGUUUUCAAUUCCAGCUGGGGACACAUCUCAUUCUAUAGACUGCUUGCUUGGUAAACAUGUAGAUCCAAGGUCAACCACUGAAUCCGCAUACAGGGCAGUAAUGCGCUUGUAAUCUCAAUACUGGGGAGGCAGGGAUAAGUGAGCCAGCCAGCCUCACCUACUUGGCAAACUCUAAGGCAAUGAGGAGCUCUGAAGGAUGACAUCUGAGAGCCACAUGCACUUGUAUGUACACGUGUACCCACACCAAAAUAAUGUAAAGGUUUUUAUUGCAUCCCGAGGGAUAUUAGCUGUUCUGGCAACGAAAGAACUGAUUCAGCCACUAAAAUGGCCGUGAAGAUGAUCAAGAAGGGCUUUUGUUUAGAACCAGGUUGUCCUCCUCCAGAGCCUUCCUGGUGAGAGUGGUGGAAAUCACCGUCAACACGUUUAACAGGUUGGAGAAAAAAACAAAGAAAUGGCCUGGCUGUGAUCGAAUCUGCAACCAUCAACACAGUGUUUUAAAAGGAAUAUUUAGUGAUGUGGUAAAAUGUCCACAAUAUAAUAUUAAAUUUGAAAUUGAGGAUCUGGGGCUGGUGAGACAACGAAGCAGGUGAAAUCAUGUGCCUCCGGGUCACGUGACCUGAUCUUACUCCACCCCACCCCCUCCCCAAGUCCCACAUGGUAUUAGAAAGAACUAACUUCUGAAAGCUGUCCUCUGAACUCCACUGAAUUGCACACACACACACACACACACACACACACACACACAAAAUCAAAUGCAUGCGCACAAAACACAAAAUAAAAAUGUAACAAAAAUGUUUUUAUUUUCAUUUUGUGUUUGGGAUUUGUUGUUGUGGUUUGGUUUGGUUUGGUUUUUCAAGGCAGGGUUUCUCUGUGUAGCCCUUGCUGUGCUAGAAAUAACUCUGUAGACCAGGUCAGCCUCCAACUCAGAAAGAAUUCUCCUGCCUCUGUCUCCCAAGUGCUGGGACUAAAGGCAUACACUACCAUAGCUGGCAUCAAAAAAAUGUUUUGUUUUGGUUUUGGUUUUGGUUUGGUUUGGUUUGGUUUGGUUUGGUUUUGUUUUUGAGACAGGGUUUCUCUGUAUAGCCCUGGCUGUCCUGGAACUCACUUUGUAAACCAGGCUGGCCUUGAACUCAGAAAUUUGCCUGUCUCUGCCAAGUGCUGGGAUCAAAGGUGUGCGCCACCACUGCCCAGCUCAAACAAACAUUUUUAAGUAGCAGCUUUUAUGCUUGAAAUUCCAAAAUCUUUCCAGUCCUGAGCACAAUGAGACAUGACAAGGGAGUUCACACCAACCUUGUUUAUGCUGGAGAAAAAAAUCAGAGC
rnacentral:lncRNA from 1 species